rnacentral:rRNA from 1 species
ACCCUUUAACGUUUGAUGUUCUAACCCGGGUCCAUAAUCUGGAUCGGGGACCGUGUCUGGUGGGUAGUUUGACUGGGGCGGUCUCCUCCCAAAGAGUAACGGAGGAGCACGAAGGUUGGCUAAGCAUGGUCGGACAUCAUGCGGUUAGUGCAAAGGCAUAAGCCAGCUUGACUGCGAGAGUGACGGCUCGAGCAGGUACGAAAGUAGGUCUUAGUGAUCCGGUGGUUCUGAAUGGAAGGGCCAUCGCUCAACGGAUAAAAGGUACUCCGGGGAUAACAGGCUGAUACCGCCCAAGAGUUCAUAUCGACGGCGGUGUUUGGCACCUCGAUGUCGGCUCAUCACAUCCUGGGGCUGAAGUAGGUCCCAAGGGUAUGGCUGUUCGCCAUUUAAAGUGGUACGCGAGCUGGGUUUAGAACGUCGUGAGACAGUUCGGUCCCUAUCUGCCGUGG